AUGAAACCUCUCUCACUCUUCUCGGCGGAAUCUUCAUCUUCAACCUUCAUUCUCUCUUUAAGUUCCUCUGCUUCUGCAACUCUUUCUCUCACUAUCCAUCUCUAUCAACCACUAACCUUCAAUCUUCAACAUAUCCUUUAUCAUCUUCAGCGAUUCAAUGUAAUCACCAUAACUUCAUUCCCUUAA